CUAUACAACACUGGGAGGCGUCAUUGAGGUACAGUGUCCCUACACAACAAAGAGGUGAAGUUAGUGAGGUACAGUGUCCCUACACAACAAAGAAGAGGUGAAGUUAGUGAGGUUC